CUACGGGGGGCAGCAGUGGGGGAUAUUGCACAAUGGGCGAAAGCCUGAUGCAGCAACGCCGCGUGAAGGAAGACGGAUUUCGGUCUGUAAACUUCUAUCAGCAGGGAAGAAAAUGACUGUACCUGACUAAGAAGCCCCGGCUAACUACGUGCCAGGCAGCCGCGGUAAUACGUAGGGGGCAAGCGUUAUCCGGAAUUAAUGGGUGUAAAGGGUACGUAGGCGGCUGAUCAAGUCAGAUGUGAAAGCCCGGGGCUCAACCCCGGGACUGCAUUUGAAACUGGUCGGCUAGAGUGCAGGAGAGGAAAGUGGAAUUCCUAGUGUAGCGGUGAAAUGCGUAGAUAUUAGGAAGAACACCAGUGGCGAAGGCGGCUUUCUGGACUGUAACUGACGCUGAGGUACGAAAGCGUGGGGAGCGAACAGGAUUAGAUACCCUAGUAGUC
rnacentral:rRNA from 1 species